rnacentral:rRNA from 1 species
AUUGAACGCUGGCGGCAGGCCUAACACAUGCAAGUCGAGCGGAUGAAGGGAGCUUGCUCCUGGAUUCAGCGGCGGACGGGUGAGUAAUGCCUAGGAAUCUGCCUGGUAGUGGGGGAUAACGUCCGGAGACGGGCGCUAAUACCGCAUACGUCCUGAGGGAGAAAGUGGGGGAUCUUCGGACCUCACGCUAUCAGAUGAGCCUAGGUCGGAUUAGCUAGUUGGUGGGGUAAAGGCCUACCAAGGCGACGAUCCGUGACUGGUCUGAGAGGAUGAUCAGUCACACUGGAACUGAGACACGGUCCAGACUCCUACGGGAGGCAGCAGUGGGGAAUAUUGGACAAUGGGCGAAAGCCUGAUCCAGCCAUGCCGCGUGUGUGAAGAAGGUCUUCGGAUUGUAAAGCACUUUAAGUUGGGAGGAAGGGCAGUAAGUUAAUACCUUGCUGUUUUGACGUUACCAACAGAAUAAGCACCGGCUAACUUCGUG